rnacentral:rRNA from 1 species
GAUGAACGCUGGCGGCGUGCCUAAUACAUGCAAGUCGAGCGAACAGACGAGGAGCUUGCUCCUCUGACGUUAGCGGCGGACGGGUGAGUAACACGUGGAUAACCUACCUAUAAGACUGGGAUAACUUCGGGAAACCGGAGCUAAUACCGGAUAAUAUAUUGAACCGCAUGGUUCAAUAGUGAAAGACGGUUUUGCUGUCACUUAUAGAUGGAUCCGCGCCGCAUUAGCUAGUUGGUAAGGUAACGGCUUACCAAGGCAACGAUGCGUAGCCGACCUGAGAGGGUGAUCCGCCCCACUGGAACUGACGCCCGGUCCAGACUCCUGCGGCAGCCCGCAGUAGGGCAUCUUCCGCCAUGGGCGAAUGCCUGACGGAGCACCGCCGCGUGAGUGAUGAAGGUCUUCGGAUCGUAGAACUCUGUUAUUAGGGAAGCUCAAAUGUGUAAGUAACUAUGCACGUCUUGACGGUACCUAAUCAGAAAGCCCCGGCUAACUACGUG